rnacentral:rRNA from 1 species
GUCUACGGCCAUACCACCCUGAAUGUGCCUGAUCUCUUCUGAUCCCAGAACCUAAGCAGGGUCAGGCCUGAUUAGUACUUGGAUGGGAGAAAUACAGCUGCUGAUGAGC